UGCCAAGGCGGUAGGGCCAUCUCAAUCCAAUGGCCUCCUUAUUUAAUUACUUUAAUACCUGGAAUAUCCCGGAAGCAAUUCUGCCACCAUGAGUCAGGCUGGAGGACAUAGGAGACUCCACUUGUGAGGACGGAGGUGAGUGGCCGGCCAGCUAGGAGAAGGCUUGAGCAUGCCAGGGGCCAGACGUCUUGGAGACCCUCUGAGAAUUCUGCCCGUUACAAAGUGUUUGAGCUGCGUUGCUGACUGAUGGACAUUUUUAGACUCGUGAAAGUGGAAACCGUGUGAACGGCCUCAUUUAUGCUUUCAUUUUUUAUUUGUUGUAAGCCUCUCCCCUAGUGUUAAGAAUUUCCAACACUUGUUUCAAAAUAAAAAUGAGCUGUCAUGAGGGAGAUUCCAGCAAA